UUCUGCUCAAUGGGAAACUAAAUAGCCGCAGUACCCUGACUGUGCAAAGGUAGCAUAAUCAUUUGGCUUAUAAUUGAAGUCUGGCAUGAAAGAAUUAUUGGGGGAAAACUGUCUCCUAAGGUUAUUAAAAGUUAUUUAACAAGUGAAAAUCCUUGUAGAAUAAUAAAAGACGAGAAGACCCUAGAAAUUUUUUAUAAAAUGAGGAUUAGUCAAUAGUAUUUUGUUGGGGCGACAAAAUAACAAUAAACUUAUUGUAUAUUAUUAGAAUUAUAUCAAAAGUUAAAAUAAAUUACUCUAGGGAUAACAGCAUAAUUUAUUAAAGUUUGUGACCUCGAUGUUGGACUAGGGAUUUUAGUGUUUAGAAGAUAUUAAAACAGGCUCUGUUCGAGCUAUUAUCCUUACGUGAUCUGAGUCAGACCGGA
rnacentral:rRNA from 1 species